rnacentral:rRNA from 1 species
ACGAGAGCGACCGGUGCUUGCACUGGUCAAUCUAGUGGCGAACGGGUGAGUAACACGUGGGUAACCUGCCCAUCAGAGGGGGAUAACAUUCGGAAACGGAUGCUAAAACCGCAUAGGUCUUUUAACCGCAUGGUUGAAGGAGGAAAAGAGGCGCAAGCUUCUGCUGAUGGAUGGACCCGCGGUGCAUUAGCUAGUUGGUGAGGUAAUGGCUCACCAAGGCCGUGAUGCAUAGCCGACCUGAGAGGGUGAUCGGCCACAUUGGGACUGAGACACGGCCCAAACUCCUACGGGAGGCAGCAGUAGGGAAUCUUCCGCAAUGGACGCAAGUCUGACGGAGCAACGCCGCGUGAGUGAAGAAGGUUUUCGGAUCGUAAAACUCUGUUGUUAGAGAAGAACAAGUGCUAGAGUAACUGUUAGCGCCUUGACGGUAUCUAACCAGAAAGCCACGGCUAACUACGUGCCAGCAGCCGCGGUAAUACGUAGGUGGCAAGCGUUGUCCGGAUUUAUUGGGCGUAAAGCGAGCGCAGGCGGUUCCUUAAGUCUGAUGUGAAAGCCCCCGGCUCAACCGGGGAGGGUCAUUGGAAACUGGGGAACUUGAGUGCAGAAGAGGAGAGUGGAAUUCCAUGUGUAGCGGUGAAAUGCGUAGAUAUAUGGAGGAACACCAGUGGCGAAGGCGACUCUCUGGUCUGUAACUGACGCUGAGGCUCGAAAGCGUGGGUAGCAAACAGGAUUAGAUACCCUGGUAGUCCACGCCGUAAACGAUGAGUGCUAAGUGUUGGAGGGUUUCCGCCCUUCAGUGCUGCAGUUAACG